GCUUGCUUUGGCAGAUACCAAAAUUGGAAUGAUAGAGAAGAUUAGCAUGGCCUCUGUGCAAGGAUGACAUGCAAAUUUGUGAAGUAUUCAAUUUUUAA
ensembl:snRNA U6 U6 spliceosomal RNA